CUCCCGCCUCCCCGGGGCAGCGUCAAUGCCCUCCAUAUCAUAACUGGGCACAGAGAGCGUUAGGAUGCCACGCUCCCGGAGAGAGAGCGUGUGAGGAGAGGUGGGCAAUGGCUCUCGCUUCAUUCCUUGACAGAUCAUAAUGGGGGCAGAUCUUGGCCUCCAGAUUUCAAGUAUAAGAGUAGUUUUCAGACUCCCUUUCUCUCCAACACCACCUUAAAGGCGACUUUCAAUAGAUGGAUGAAAAUGUAUAUUUUCAUUUGCCCAAUGCCCAAGAUGGCCUUAAAGGAGAGACCAGAUCCUCAUCAAAGCCAUAUGUGGGAGAUGCCCUUGGACAGCCUCACCCAGCUCCUGCCCAUUGGAUUUAGCCAAUGGAAAACAUCACCAGGAACCAAAAAAAAAUGGGAUAAGAGAAGAUUCCAGGGAUUUCCUUCCUACUCCCUCCCUGUUUCUGGGUUGCCCUCCUAGAAGCAUCUGUGUCUCUACAGCUUCACGUCCUACUGGGUAGCUCCCCUCCUCGCCUUAACCUGUGACGCCAGUUCUCUAGAGGCUCACGAAACACCGUGUCUUCUCCAUGUCAGUCUCCUCUUCAGUCAAAGGAGAGUUAAAGGUCAGAGGCAUAUCCAGGUUUUAGGGAGCCCAAACUUGUAUAAUUAAACUUAUAAAUUUUAUUUGAAGUAAUAUGGCCCAUGCAAACACAUUGCUGGCCCCUCUCGGGGCCUUGGGAAGGUUCUGUUCAAUGUGAGGGACCGUAAGCCUGACCUUGAUCAGCUUCGUAGGAAGUCCCCUCUCUGCUAAAGACUGCCGGAGUUGGUAGUCUCUGAUGCCCCAACAUGCCUGUGCGUGCUCUUUACAUGGUCACAUCUUUAUAAAAAUGUCUUCAUUUAAGCAAUCUGUGUAGAUCCCAUGUCCUCAGAAAUCCUUAUUUCUGAGUCUAUUCUAGCAUGUCGUGUGAAGAUGUGCUAAGCAACCUUGUUUGCUUCUCCUAUUGACUCCCUUCCUAGGAAACACUUAAUUUGCUACAACUUAGUCUAACUUUUGAGUCUCAGCUUUCUGUCUAAAAGCAGUAAGUAAAAAAAUAAAACCAGGCAGGAAUAGAAGGAGGUAUUUUACUCUCUUAGGAGCCUUUCCAAGCCAGUCACAAGCUAAAUGUAUUGGGUAUACACUUGUUAAAUCCAUAAAAUAUGAUGGCAUCUUUUCAAACACAUUUGGUCAACUACGAUUUUUAGUAGCUGUAAUUGCAGGGCAGGUUCUAGCAUUUCUAAAUCACAUCCCUGCUGCUUCUUUUGAAUAAACCUCUUAGUAGCCAUCCACAACAAAGUAUUGUUAUGUUACAGAAACGGAAGAACUUUAUUAUGGAACCAUGUUAGUUUGGCUCUAACCAUACAGAAUACAGAAUUCUGCAGGUAUUUGAUGCAAAUGUUUUCAAUGAUCAACUCCUUGCCUUUACUGUAAUGUCUAGGGUGUGCAUUCAAGAUUAUGCAAUCACUAGAUUAAAGAGUAAUAUCCCCAGUGAGGUAGCCAGGGUUUCAUUUCCCCGAGAAUUCAAAACAGACUCAGAUUAAGUCUGCAAUAGUGUAUUGCAUGAUUGUUUCUUUUCAGUUUUCAGAAUCAUGUCAUUACUAAUGUUCACAAAUACUCAGUAACAAAAGAAAUGAUGACCAUUUUAUAACUCAUUCAAGUUGUCAAACAACUUCACCUUCCAAAGUUAGAAACUCUAAGAGCUAUGUGCCAAAAGGAAACACAAGGCCACAUUGUCACAUGUGGAAAUAUACAGUGGUAUUCCAGGCACCUCGUAUGAUAAAAGUGCUUCAAAUUAGAACAGUGCACUCAUUGUUACUAAGAGUUUUCAUGAGACUACACAGUUCAGUAAGAAAUACUCAGUUAAAUUUCCUUGAAACAUGGCUUUUUCCCUCCAAAUCAUCACUUAUCCACCUAACUUCCUACAGUCAGGUUUUCUUUUCUUUUUUUUUUUUUAACUGUUCAUAGCAAUUUCGAAACCUCAAUAAUAUGGCAAUAUAUUCUUAUGGAUGCUGGCUACCUUUAUUAACCAAGUUGAAAUUUAUAUUACCACAUUAGUGUUUCUAGGAUGGAAAGAUAAGGCAUAGGAGAAUAAGAUCUUAUCCAUAACAAAUUAACCAUACUAAAUAUGAUACAGAAAACAAGCAUACUUUGUUUUUCCACUAGCAAUUUAGGAAUGCUAACUGUGGGAAUAUCCAGUUUGCACAUAUUGCACACUUGCUAAUAGGCUAGUCCCAGGCAUGUGUUAGUAACCAAAUACGUAGUUAUUUUAAGCAACUGUCAUUUUAAGGGCUUUAUGGAAAAUUUGCACCUUCUGUAAUUUAAAUAUAAUAUAUAAUUUUUAAUAUUUAAAAUCACUGUAGAAAAUCCUUUCAUUCUGUUUUACAACUUGAGAUCUAGAGAGAACUUACAUGAAAAUGUUUAACUUGAAGAAGUUUAAAUGAAAGUUUAAAACAGCCUCAGUAGUAUGAAACAUAAUUUUACUAGAAUUCUAGUAGAUGCCAAUCUGAAAAAUACAAUGUUUAUUGAUUAACAAAGCAAAAUGAGAUGGAGAAUAAGAACAUAAACAGAAAACAUACGUCCUUGUUUCCCCAAAGCUGUAAAGAAAUAAACUGUUUCAU